AACGAGCGAGUGCAGGAACCAGCCAACCGCUUUCAGGUGCCGGCAGUAGCAAACUCUGUGCGGGCCCAGCGGCGCAACCAGAAACAUUUCUAUACAUUUAUGAGACCCAACUCCAAAAGCAUACUGGAAUGGAAUUAAAGACCGAACUACAGAAGCUAAAGAGAGCUGAUCAAACUAAAAAAAAAAGUUAAAGGUGAGGAGGCCAAGGCUCAGAAGAGUCACUUGCCCAUGAUCACUGCUCUUAUAGCGCCAACUCAGAGCUCAGGCAAUGCUCAUGUUCUUUCCACUGUGCCUCAUCGCUCAUGUCUGACUCUUCUAGAAAUGUGGGCAAAUCCCCUGCCUUCUGUGGGUCUCAGAUUUCCAUAAAAAAUAAAAUCAAUGGAUCAACUUAAUUAGACAUCUUGAGUCUAAAAUUCUUAGCUCCAAAACAGAGGAUGGUGAUGAGUAUAUGCAAAUGCGGCAAUAUUUCAGCAACACACAUGGGCUUCAGAAUAAAUAUCAAGAUCUUCCUACAUGUUAAUAACACUGAAAUUUUGUUACCCAGAAAAUAUAAUGGGUUUUUCUUAUCUUGAGUUUUUUAGAUUUCUGAAAAUUUUAGUCUUGGAAUUUAUUCCUUGCUUUAUAUCAAAUGUUUCUGUGUCAACUCCUCC
rnacentral:lncRNA from 1 species